rnacentral:rRNA from 1 species
UCUACGGGUGGCAGCAGUGAGGAAUAUUGGUCAAUGGGCGGAAGCCUGAACCAGCCAAGUCGCGUGAGGGAAUAAGGCCCUACGGGUCGUAAACCUCUUUUGCCGGGGAGCAAGGGCGGGGACGUGUCCCGGCCCGUAGAGUACCCGGAGAAAAAGCAUCGGCUAACUCCGUGCCAGCAGCCGCGGUCAUACGGAGGAUGCGAGCGUUAUCCGGAUUUAUUGGGUUUAAAGGGUGCGUAGGCGGAAUAUCAAGUCAGCGGUAAAAAUUCGGGGCUCAACCCCGUCGUGCCGUUGAAACUGAUGUUCUUGAGUGGGCGAGAGGUAUGCGGAAGGCGUGGUGUAGCGGUGAAAUGCAUAGAUAUCACGCAGAACUCCGAUUGCGAAGGCAGCAUACCGGCGCCCAACUGACGCUGAAGCACGAAAGCGUGGGUAUCGAACAGGAUUAGAUACCCCUAUAGUC